rnacentral:rRNA from 1 species
AACGAACGCUGGCGGCAUGCCUAACACAUGCAAGUCGAACGAGAUCUUCGGGUCUAGUGGCGCACGGGUGCGUAACGCGUGGGAAUCUGCCCUUGGGUUCGGAAUAACUUCGGGAAACUGAAGCUAAUACCGGAUGAUGACGUAAGUCCAAAGAUUUAUCGCCCAAGGAUGAGCCCGCGUAGGAUUAGCUAGUUGGUGAGGUAAAGGCUCACCAAGGCGACGAUCCUUAGCUGGUCUGAGAGGAUGAUCAGCCACACUGGGACUGAGACACGGCCCAGACUCCUACGGGAGGCAGCAGUGGGGAAUUUUGGACAAUGGGCGCAAGCCUGAUCCAGCCAUGCCGCGUGCAGGAUGAAGGCCUUCGGUUGUAACUAGCUUUGUACGGUAACGAAAGAACUCUUCUAAUAAAGGGGUACCGAAUGACGGUACCGUAAGAAUAAGACACCGGCUAACUACGUGCCAGCAGCCGCGGU